AAUUAAAAAUUUGCAUUCCAACUGAACCGAAAACUUCGGGGAGCGAAAUGGAGGCUAGUUUCGUCGCCGGCGAUCGGCCGACGGUGUUAGUGACGAACGACGAUGGAAUCGAUGCGCCGGGAUUGAGAGCUCUAGUUAGUCUGCUUGUUUCCACCAAUCGCUUUUACGUCCUCGUUUGUGCUCCUGACUCUGAAAAGUCAGCUGUUAGUCAUAGCAUUACUUGGCGUAAUGCCCUUUCUGUUAAGCAAGUUGACAUCAGCGGAGCAACAGCGUUUGCAGUUUCAGGAACUCCAGCAGACUGUACUUCCCUGGGAAUCUCUAAAGCUCUUUUCCCUUCAGUACCUGAUCUGGUUAUCAGUGGUGUUAAUAUGGGUGACAACUGCGGCUAUCACAUAGUAUACUCGGGUACAGUGGCUGGCGCUAGGGAGGCUUUUUUCUGUGGUAUUCCUGCUGUGUCUGUAUCAUAUAAUUGGAUUCGUGGAAAAAGCAAUGUUAAUGACUUCACACUGGCUGCUAAAGCUUGCUUACCCAUCAUCAGCGCUAUAUUGGCUGCAAUCAAGACAAAUCACUAUCCCAAGAAUUGCUUUCUCAAUAUUGAUGUGCCAACAGAUGUUGUCAAUCACAAGGGAUACCGUCUAACCCGACAAGGAAAAAGUUUUGUGAAAAUGGGAUGGAGGCAAGUUACUUCUGAAAGAGAAGGAGGAAACGUUUUGUCCACAAUGACUAUGGAGACGAAUUCAUCAGAAAGUACACAUGCUAGAGCCUUAAAAAAUGCACCAUUGGAUCAUCUACUGUUUAAGAGACGAGUAUGAUCCCUUUCACUAUAGGUUACAAGAAUUCUAGUGGGGAAUGGUGAUACAGACUACUGUUCUCUUCAAGAAGGAUACAUUACUGUCACACCCCUUGGCGGCUUGUCUCCAGCAGAGCUAGAUGCUGUUUCAUUCUUUCAGAAUUGGCUGCCCAGUGUUGUUAAUCAUUACCCUUCCUCUGCUUUGUAGUGCU